rnacentral:rRNA from 1 species
UACGUAGGGGGCAAGCGUUGUCCGGAUUUAUUGGGCGUAAAGAGCGUGUAGGCGGCCUUACAGGUCAGCUGUGAAAACUCGAGGCUCAACCUCGAGACGUCGGUUGAAACCGUAAGGCUAGAGUCCGGAAGAGGAGAGUGGAAUUCCCGGUGUAGCGGUGAAAUGCGCAGAUAUCGGGAAGAACACCCGUGGCGAAGGCGGCUCUCUGGGACGGUACUGACGCGUGAGACGCGAAAGCGUGGGGAGCGAACAGG